GUUUGCACUCAUCGGGGAAGGAUGAGAAGCUUCGACUAAGGUUCGACUCGAGCGCCAGCGAGAGAGCGUUGCCGCAGGCAACGACCCGAAGGGUGAGGAGCGAAGCGACGAAUAAUCCUUCCCCCACCACCA
rnacentral:sRNA from 1 species